rnacentral:miRNA from 1 species
UUAAAUACAUACAGAAUUAUGUCAGAACCGUAAAGUAAUAUUAAUUCAGGCAACGUAUUUUUUAAAAUACGUUGCCUGAAUUAAUAUUACUUUACGGUUCUGACAUGUUUAAAAACAUGC